AAUAGAUACCCGGUAGUCCACCCGUAAACGUUGGAACUAGUUGUGGGUCCUUUCCACGGAUUCCGUGACGCAGCUAACGCAUUAAGUUCCCCGCCUGGGGAGUACGGCCGCAAGGCUAAACUCAAAGGAAUUGACGGGGACCCGCACAAGCGGCGGAGCAUGCGGAUUAAUUCGAUGCAACGCGAAGAACCUUACCAAGGCUUGACAUACACGAGAACACCCCAGAAAUGGGGGACUCUUUGGACACUCGUGAACAGGUGGUGCAUGGUUGUCGUCAGCUCGUGUCGUGAGAUGUUGGGUUAAGUCCCGCAACGAGCGCAACCCUCGUUCUAUGUUGCCAGCACGUAAUGGUGGGAACUCAUGGGAUACUGCCGGGGUCAACUCGGAGGAAGGUGGGGAUGACGUCAAAUCAUCAUGCCCCUUAUGUCUUGGGCUUCACGCAUGCUACAAUGGCCGGUACAAAGGGCUGCAAUACCGUGAGGUGGAGCGAAUCCCAAAAAGCCGGUCCCAGUUCGGAUUGAGGUCUGCAACUCGACCUCAUGAA
rnacentral:rRNA from 1 species